rnacentral:rRNA from 1 species
UUAAGUGAAUAAGGGCGCACGGUGGAUGCCUUGGCACUAGGAGCCGAUGAAGGACGGGACUAACACCGAUAUGCUUUGGGGAGCUGUAAGUAAGCUAUGAUCCAGAGAUUUCCGAAUGGGGGAACCCAAUAUCUUUUAUAGGAUAUUACUUUUCAGUGAAUACAUAGCUGAUUAGAGGUAGACGCAGAGAACUGAAACAUCUUAGUACCUGCAGGAAGAGAAAGAAAAUUCGAUUCCCUGAGUAGCGGCGAGCGAAACGGGAAGAGCCCAAACCAACAAGCUUGCUUGUUGGGGUUGUAGGACUCCAAUAUGGUAGUCUGUUAGUAUAGUUGAAGGAUUUGGAAAAUUCCGCUAAAGAGGGUGAAAGCCCCGUAGACGAAAUGCUGACAACACCUAGGAGGAUCCUGAGUACGGCGGAACACGAGAAAUUCCGUCGGAAUCCGCGGGGACCAUCCCGCAAGGCUAAAUACUCCCUAGUGACCGAUAGUGAACCAGUACCGUGAGGGAAAGGUGAAAAGCACCCCGGAAGGGGAGUGAAAUAGAUCCUGAAACCGUGUGCCUACAACAAGUCAAAGCUCGUUAAUGAGUGAUGGCGUGCCUUUUGUAGAAUGAACCGGCGAGUUACGAUUGCAUGCGAGGUUAAGUCGAAGAGACGGAGCCGCAGCGAAAGCGAGUCUGAAUAGGGCGAAUGAGUAUGUAGUCGUAGACCCGAAACCAUGUGAUCUACCCAUGUCCAGGUUGAAGGUGCGGUAAAACGCACUGGAGGACCGAACCCACGUACGUUGAAAAGUGCGGGGAUGAGGUGUGGGUAGCGGAGAAAUUCCAAACGAACUUGGAGAUAGCUGGUUCUCUCCGAAAUAGCUUUAGGGCUAGCCUCGGAAUUGAGAAUGAUGGAGGUAGAGCACUGUUUGGACUAGGGGCCCAUCUCGGGUUACCGAAUUCAGAUAAACUCCGAAUGCCAUUCAUUUAUAUCCGGGAGUCAGACUGCGAGUGAUAAGAUCCGUAGUCGAAAGGGAAACAGCCCAGACCACCAGCUAAGGUCCCAAAAUAUAUGUUAAGUGGAAAAGGAUGUGGGGUUGCACAGACAACUAGGAUGUUGGCUUAGAAGCAGCCACCAUUUAAAGAGUGCGUAAUAGCUCACUAGUCGAGUGACCCUGCGCCGAAAAUGUACCGGGGCUAAACAUAUUACCGAAGCUGUGGACUACACCAUUAGGUGUAGUGGUAGGAGAGCGUUCUAAGGGCGUUGAAGGUCGAUCGUGAGGACGGCUGGAGCGCUUAGAAGUGAGAAUGCCGGUAUGAGUAGCGAAAGACAGGUGAGAAUCCUGUCCACCGUAUGACUAAGGUUUCCUGGGGAAGGCUCGUCCGCCCAGGGUUAGUCGGGACCUAAGCCGAGGCCGAUAGGCGUAGGCGAUGGACAACAGGUUGAUAUUCCUGUACCAGUUGUUUUUGUUUGAACAAUGGAGGGACGCAGUAGGCUAAGGAAUGCAUGCGAUUGGAAGUGCAUGUCCAAGCAAUGAGUCUUGAGUAGAGUUAAAUGCUUUACUCUUUAAGGACAAGUUGUGACGGGGAGCGAAAUAAUAGUAGCGAAGUUCCUGAUGUCACACUGCCAAGAAAAGCUUCUAGUGAGAAAACAACUGCCCGUACCGUAAACCGACACAGGUAGUCGAGGAGAGUAUCCUAAGGUGAGCGAGCGAACUCUCGUUAAGGAACUCGGCAAAAUGACCCCGUAACUUCGGGAGAAGGGGUGCUGACUUCGGUCAGCCGCAGUGAAUAGGCCCAAGCGACUGUUUAUCAAAAACACAGGUCUCUGCAAAAUCGUAAGAUGAAGUAUAGGGGCUGACGCCUGCCCGGUGCUGGAAGGUUAAGAGGAUGGGUUAGCUUCGGCGAAGCUCAGAAUUGAAGCCCCAGUAAACGGCGGCCGUAACUAUAACGGUCCUAAGGUAGCGAAAUUCCUUGUCGGGUAAGUUCCGACCCGCACGAAAGGCGUAACGAUUUGGGCACUGUCUCAACGAGAGACUCGGUGAAAUUUUAGUACCUGUGAAGAUGCAGGUUACCCGCGACAGGACGGAAAGACCCCAUGGAGCUUUACUGUAGUUUGAUAUUGAGUGUUUGUACCACAUGUACAGGAUAGGUAGGAGCCGAUGAGACCGGAACGCUAGUUUCGGAGGAGGCGCUGGUGGGAUACUACCCUUGUGUUAUGAACCCUCUAACCCGCACCACUAAUCGUGGUGGGAGACAGUGUCAGAUGGGCAGUUUGACUGGGGCGGUCGCCUCCUAAAAGGUAACGGAGGCGCCCAAAGGUUCCCUCAGAAUGGUUGGAAAUCAUUCGAAGAGUGUAAAGGCAGAAGGGAGCUUGACUGCGAGACCUACAAGUCGAGCAGGGACGAAAGUCGGGCUUAGUGAUCCGGUGGUUCCGCAUGGAAGGGCCAUCGCUCAACGGAUAAAAGCUACCCUGGGGAUAACAGGCUUAUCUCCCCCAAGAGUCCACAUCGACGGGGAGGUUUGGCACCUCGAUGUCG